rnacentral:lncRNA from 1 species
UAACAUCUCAUAAUGUUUCAGAACAAUAUCGGCUAAAAACCUGAAGACCGGUGAGGUCGAAGUUAUAUACAAUGCUAAGGAGAGUAUCUCAGGACUCAGACCUCCAACUGUGAAGAACCUGAAAGAGGUAAUGGAGAGCGAGUCUGCGAUGGUGUGGAGUGAAGUAAGUGAGAAGAUACUGAAUAAAGACUGGGAACGAGCAAGAGAAGCGAAGAAAGCUGUGGAGGAGAAACAGAGAGAGUCUCUGAAGCGGAGAGAGGCUUCUGGUGAGUCUUGGGUUCCCAAGCAUUUCUCAGUGGUUAGAAACGGUAAAGACUGGGACUGCUCACCGCUUCAGCCAACGGUUCCCCGAGCUCCACUUGUCAUCACAGAAGCACAAGAAGAAAACAUGAACUGAUAUCAAGAUUAAAGACUUUAAGCUUACUACUAUGUCAUGUAACAUAUACUUAUUGAUAUAGACUGAACCAAAGUGAAAAUCGCAAAAUAAAAUUCUUUUUAAUCAAAACUUUCUGCUCUAAUUGCGUAUAAGCGGAUUUCAGUUUCACCAAGAAACAUCAACUUCCAAGAAUCAUUUCAGCUUUUUUUCAAGAAAAUUUACAGUAUCUAAAAGAUCCAAGAAUAUAAUUAGGUCCAAGAAUCGGCUCAAGAAUCAUCUCUCAGGCAGCUGUGCUUGUGUAGUUAGGGAAGAGGUUGACCAAAGUGUCAAGAGCAUCAGGAUGAAACUUCCUUGCAAACAGAUAACAAGGUCGCGUGAUCCCAUUCCAUGUACAAGGCCAAUGCAGCUCAUCUCCAUGCUUCAAAAACCACAAGUAAAAGUGAGAAAGAAAGAGAUAACAGAAGGCAACGAGAAAGAAAGUUUCAAGAGCAUACCUCUCCCACACUUGUGACGUGUGUACUCAUUUCCUCAGACUGCACAAGCGCAAAAUCAAGAAAAGUUAGAAUAAGAAGCUAAUUGUGAUUAAUUUUCGAAGAGAUUUCGUUUCAAAACAUUACCGUGACAUUUUUUAUGAACUCUAAUGAUAUCUCAUUUGCUGUGUAAGUCUUUGGAUGCCACCUUCUUUCAGACCAAUCAACAUACGUUACUGACCAGUUCGAGAUCCCCAUGGGAUCAAGCAUCUGAAAGACGAAGAUUCAGCAAAUAAAGAAAAUGUUAGAGCAACAAGAAGGCUUUAAAGAUUGCAAAAGAUAGGGGUGUUCUUCCUCACACUGAAGAAUGUUGGCAAGUAAUGUUCAUCAGCAAUACAGUUCUUGUCUGCCUCUAUCCCUGGCUGAAAUUUUUAGUAAAUUUCUUGAUCAAAAUCAGACCUCAGGACGAAGAAACUGGAAAAUUUAUCAAAAGGUCUUACACCACAAUACUCGCGGAAUUUUGAGUAGUAGAGACCAUCAGCCAUCACUAUAAUCGCGUGUUGUCGCUUCAUUGUGAACCACUGAUCAGAAGAAAAGAAGAAAGUUACACUACAAAAGUAGCAACCAUACUAACUCAGACAUACUCUUAGAGAUUGAAGCUUUGUUUUUUUUACCUGAGCACCCUUUCUAAAAUCUUCCCUAGCAAUUUCAGGUAACAUGUGUUCCAUGUGUCUACCAGUACCAUGUUGUCCAGGAUCCACAAAACUUGAGAAACAUAGAAAAUUGAAGCUUGUGUCAUUAAUGGAUAACUCAAAACUUUUUUUCUUUUGAUUUAAGUGAUUAAUUUUACCUCUCAAUGAAGCUGAUGUUGGAGUAUAGCAAAUAUCUGUAGGUGUAGUCAAAAGUAUGCAACGGUAUACAACUGCACAGAAGAAUAAAGUUAAUGUGAUUUUGAUUUGUGCAAGAAAACCUUGAUAGGGACACUUGAGCAAGAUUGCAUCAUUACAUCAAGGUUAUUGAAUUCAAAGUAAGUUUUUAUUUUGGAUUUAUUUUAUUAAAAAUUUCAGUAUUUAAUUAGAUUUUAUUAAUUCGGUUUAAUUCGGUAUUUUAGAGUAUGGUGUUACACUAUUUAUAGUUAUAUUUGACUACAUAUUAUUAUAUUUUUCAAAAAUAUUUUAUUUUAAUAUGUUUCAAAUAGUAUAUUUUAUUAAUUUUGAAAGUUUAGUGAUUAUAGUUAAUUAUUAUAAUUUUAAAGACUAAAAUAUAAAUUUUUAAUUUUUCUAAAAUAAAUUUGAAGAUGGCUGUUGGAAAAUUACUCCCUCAUCCCCUUAUUUUAAGGGUAGAUCUCAAUAAAAAUGAGGGUGCUUGCGGGAGAUGCCCUUAUGCACUUUUGGAUUUUUACUUUUGAAAUAUUAAUUUCCAAAUUGUCGUUAUAUAUAACAGGUAAACAUUUAUAUUUCAUACCAUAUCACGUCAUUUACCAAUAAUUUGUUCAAAAUUGUGAUUACGAUUUGUUUUCCUUUAAAAUUUAUUAAUCAUAUUCUUUGAACGUAAAGCUGCCACCUCAGCUGAACCAACCAAGAUCACAGCUUCAAUGUUACGGGGAGAUGAUCUACAGCUUUUGCGGUCAGGAUCUCAUAGGAGAAUGCAGCCGUCGCGAUCUUCCCAUCGAACGGCUCAAAUCGGUCGUGGCGUGGAACAUCUCCACACUCCGUCCGAUAGUCUUUGGCAUGUCACCGUACAACCCCGUUCUUGGCGAGACUCACCACGUCUCCCACGGUCACAUCAACGUCCUCACCGAACAAGUAUAACCUUUAUUUAUUGCAAUCGUAACACAUAUUGAUACCAUGUCACGUCAAAUAUUUUGUGGUUGUUAACUUGUUAUGUUUCAGGUAUCGCAUCAUCCUCCGGUGUCGGCACUUCAUGCGACUCACGAGAAUGAAAAUAUUGACGUGACAUGGUGUCAAUAUUUCACUCCUAAGUUCCGUGGUAUGUUUCGUUCUUACAUCCCCAGUAUCUCAAAACAACCAUUUUUUUUACAAUCAAACAACGGCUAUUUCACUACCAAACCCAAAACAGAACAACCAACGAACCCAAAAUCCCUAUAAAACGUUAUAACAGUAACUAAGAAAUCUGAAAACAACCGUCAACACUAUGAUAUAUAUUUUCUAAAACGGAAGCAUCACGUUUUGGCUUUGAAAUCUAACUCUAGAUCUAAUUUGUGCGUGUACUCAUGGUUAACAAGGUGCUUACGUAGACGUUGAGGUAAAGGGCAAAAGGACAAUGAAGCUUCUGAAUAGGAAAGAGACUUACGAGAUGGACCAACCAAGGCUUGUUGUGAGAUUCUUACCUGCUCCUGGAGCUCACUGGACCGGGAAAAUCAAGAUAAAGUGUCCAGAGACUGAUCUCGAAGCCGAACUACACUUGAUAUCUGAUUCAUUCAUCGAAAGAUUCAAAGGCAACAACAAUAGAUCAAUCAAAGGAAAGAUCUCUCAGACUUCCUCCGGAGAUAAGCUCUAUGACAUCUCUGGCCAUUGGGACAGGUAAGUAGUAUAUGAAUCAAAGAGUCAUUACAGCUCUCUAAGAACAUCAUUAACAUCUCAUAAUGUUUCAGAACAAUAUCGGCUAAAAACCUGAAGACCGGUGAGGUCGAAGUUAUAUACAAUGCUAAGGAGAGUAUCUCAGGACUCAGACCUCCAACUGUGAAGAACCUGAAAGAGGUAAUGGAGAGCGAGUCUGCGAUGGUGUGGAGUGAAGUAAGUGAGAAGAUACUGAAUAAAGACUGGGAACGAGCAAGAGAAGCGAAGAAAGCUGUGGAGGAGAAACAGAGAGAGUCUCUGAAGCGGAGAGAGGCUUCUGGU